UCUCAUGUGGUCUAGUGGUUAGAAUUUUGCGCUCUCACCGCCAUGGCCCGGGCUCAAUUCCCGGCGUGGGAA
rnacentral:tRNA from 2 species